rnacentral:misc_RNA from 1 species
UGAAUGAAUAUAAAACAGAAAAAUAAAUUUAAAAUUCCAAAAUGUGUAAUGUUAAUCUGAUGACGUUUAUCCGGCUUAUCACGAAUGAAUGAAUGACUUGUCGUUCGUAGGACUCCGCUGAUAAACGAUAAACCAACAUGUAUUAAAAGCGAGCGAGUGCUUAGUAUAGAUCAGUUGAACGCUUAUACGCGAACGAACAUUAUCUCAAAGCGUAACUUUGUCGUUUGUCUUAUAGUGUUUGUAUUCAAAUAUUACUAUUACGAAAUUCGUUCGAAAAUUUAAAAUAAAUGAUAUCAAGUAUAAACAGUGACGCUUAGAAGAGAUAAGGAGUAUUAUUAUCGUUCUAUUUCUUAGUUAAUGUGUUCAUUUUGUUCUUUUUUAUUCUUUUAUUUGACUUGUUAUCUUGCUUCUUGUCGCUGCUUUUUUAAUCUAUUUACAUGAAUUUAUUCUAAAUAUCCGUAAUAAUAGUAAAUAUAAAAGUAAAGUAAAAGUAAAAGUAAAAUGAUUCGUAAGUUUAUUGUACGAACGUCGAAAAAAUUAUUAGAGCUGCGUAUUGCAAGAAAGGAGCAUAUUAGAAAUGUACAUUUCAAGUUUUAUCCCAACACAAGGUCGUUCAUACCCGAGCGAAAAACCGAAAAAUUGAAUAUGUAUCAAGCCAUUAAUCAAGCUUUGGACAUUACUUUAAAAAAUGAUUCAUCCGCAGUUAUUUUUGGAGAAGAUGUUGCCUUCGGUGGUGUUUUUCGUUGCACCGUAGGAUUACAAAAACGUUAUGGUUCCGAUCGAGUUUUUAAUACACCUUUAUCCGAACAAGGUAUCGCAGGUUUUGGUAUUGGUUUGGCGAAUGUUGGUGCAACCGCCAUUGCAGAAAUUCAGUUUGCCGAUUAUAUAUUUCCUGCAUUUGAUCAGAUAGUAAAUGAAGCAGCUAAAUGCAGAUACAGAAGCGGCGGAAUGUUUGAUUGUGGAAAAUUGACGAUACGAUCACCUUGCGGUGCCGUUGGGCAUGGAGGACUGUAUCAUUCACAAAGUCCGGAAGCUUAUUUUGCUCAUACACCUGGAUUAAAGAUUGUAGUACCUCGAGGUCCAGUGCAAGCAAAAGGACUUUUAUUGAGUUCUAUUCAGGAGCCAGAUCCUUGCAUAAUUUUUGAACCUAAGGUCCUUUAUCGUACGGCUGUUGAUGAGGUUCCGGUUGGUCAUUAUAAAAUUGAAAUUGGUAAAGGAGAGAUUAUUAAAGAAGGAAAAGACGUGACUCUCGUAGGAUGGGGCACACAGGUGCACGUACUAUUAGAAACAGCCGAUCUCGUCGAGGAGAAGCUCGGUGCAUCUUGCGAGGUGAUAGAUCUUCUUUCCAUUUUACCUUGGGAUGUUCAACUAGUUUGCAAGGCACAGUGAUCUCAGCAUAUUUGAACUUUAAACUAUAAUAAUAGAGAGUGAAUAAGAAACGAAAUAGAGGUAGGCCAGGGUUCAGGCAGUUAUCUUCUGGACUCAGGUCCAGUGAUGCAGAUCGUAAUUGGAAAGUUAGUUUCAUUGCACUCAACUCUCGAGACUGGUGUAGUUUGCGCAACUAAGAAACUGUUUCGAAGGCUCAUCGAGAAGGUUGCUAAUCGGAGAUUAGGUCUCUUCAACACAAGAGAACAA